rnacentral:rRNA from 1 species
AAUAUUGCGCAAUGGGGGAAACCCUGACGCCGCGACGCCGCGUGAAGGAAGAAGGUUUUCGGUUUNUAAAUUUCUAUCUGCAGGGANAAUGAUGACAGUACCCGACUAAGAAGCCCCGGCUACCUACGUCCCAGCAGCCGCGGUAAUACGUAGGGGGCAAGCGUCAUCCGGAUUUACUGGGUGGAAAGGGUGCGUAGGUGGCUAGACAAGUCAGAUGAGAAAGCCCGGGGCUCAACUCCGGGACUGCAUUUGAAACUGUAGAGCUAGAGUGCAGAAGAGGUAAGUGGAAUUCCUAGUGUAGCGGUGAAAUGCGUAGAUAUUAGGAGGAACACCAGUGGCGAAGGCGGCUUACUGGACUGUAACUGACACUGAGGCACGAAAGCGUGGGGAGCAAACAGG